rnacentral:rRNA from 1 species
GUGACGAUGCGACGCCGCGUGAGCGAAGAAGGCCCUAGGGUUGUAAAGCUCUGUCAGGGGUUAAGAAAUGUAGAUAGGUUAAUACCCUGUUUAUUUGACAAAAGCCCCAAAGGAAGCCACGGCUAACUCUGUGCCAGCAGCCGCGGUAAUACAGAGGUGGCAAGCGUUGUUCGGUAUUAUUGGGCGUAAAGAGCACGUAGGUGGUUUUGUAAGUCAGAUGUGAAAGCCUUCUGUUCAAAGGAAGAACGGCAUCUGAAACUGCAAAUCUUGAGUGUAGGAGGGGAGAGUGGAACUUCUGGUGGAGCGGUGAAAUGCGUAGAUAUCAGAAGGAACGUCGGCGGCGAAAGCGACUCUCUGGCCUAUUACUGACACUGAGUGUGCGAAAGUUAGGGGAGCAAACGGGAUUAGAUACCCCGGUAGUCCUAACCGUAAACGAU